GUACACGCUGUGACUAGCAUAUCAAUAAGCGGAGGAAAAGAAACUAACAAGGAUUCCCUCAGUAACGGCGAGUGAAGCGGGAAGAGCUCAAAUUUGAAAUCUUCAAGGUUUUACCUUGACGAAUUGUAGUUUAAAGAAGUGUUUUCUGCUGAAGUUUUGGUAAAAGUUCUUUGGAAUAGGACAUCAUAGAGGGUGAGAAUCCCGUAUUUGACCAUUAUUUUCAGCUGUGUGAUACACUUUCAAAGAGUCGGAUUGUUUGGGAAUGCAGUCCCAAAAUGGGUGGUAAAUUUCAUCUAAAGCUAAAUAUUGGCGAGAGACCGAUAGCGAACAAGUACCGUGAGGGAAAGAUGAAAAGAACUUUGAAAAGAGAGUUAAACAGUACGUGAAAUUGUCAAAAGGGAAGCGUUUGACACCAGUGUUGUUUUCUCGAAAAUCAAUUAAAGAAUGCUCGAUUUAUGUAAUUGCUGUAGACCUUAUAAGCUCAUCUGUACAGUUUUCGUGUCUUUUUUAAUGCACUUUUCAGUUUAACAAGUCAACAUCAAUUUCUUUUGCUGUAAAAAAGCUUGAGGAAGGUGGCUUGAGAUUCGUCUUAAGUGUUUAUAGCCUCUUGCCUAUGCAGUCGGAGAGAUUGAGGUCUGCAGCGUAGAUCCUUCGGGGCUAAAUGCAUUUGUGCUAAGUUAUAGCAUUUUAUAGACAACUUGUUGACUAUGAUUUGUCUUGUAGCUUACUCGCUUAUGUUAUUUUACCUACGCUUAGGAUGUUGAACUACUGAGACAUAGA
rnacentral:rRNA from 1 species